AUUUUUCCCGGCAAGAUCAGUAUCUUUGCGCGCUUUUCCCCGCUGGGCGACCUCUGGAGACAGGCUAAAUGGCCCGUAUUGCUGGCAUAAACAUACCUAAC
rfam:Candidatus Muproteobacteria bacterium RBG_16_65_31 RBG_16_scaffold_39454, whole genome shotgun sequence.